CCGUUUCGGUGUGCACUGUCUUUCUGCGUCUUUCUGUCGGGGACGCGCUUCUGGCCUUAAUUGGCUGGGACGUGGAUUCGACGAGGUUACUUUGAAAAAAUUAGAGUGUUCAAAGCAAGCUAAAGCUCUGAAUACAUUAGCAUGGAAUAACGCGAGAGGACUCGGUCCUUAUUUUGUUGGUCUUCAAGGAUGGAGUAAUGAUUAAGAGGGACAGUUGGGGGCAUUCGUAUUUCAUUGCUAGAGGUGAAAUUCUUGGAUUUAUGAAAGGCGAACUUCUGCGAAAGCAUUUGCCAAGGAUGUUUUCAUUGAUCAAGAACGAAAGUUGGGGGCUCGAAGAUGAUCAGAUACCAUCCUAGUCUCAACCAUAAACGAUGCCGACUAGGGAUUGGCAGGUGUUACAUCGAUGGCUCUGCCAGCACCUUAUGAGAAAUCAAAGUUUUUGGGUUCCGGGGGGAGUAUGGUCGCAAGGCUGAAACUUAAAGGAAUUGACGGAAGGGCACCACCAGGAGUGGAGCCUGCGGCUUAAUUUGACUCAACACGGGGAAACUUACCAGGUCCAGACAUAGUAAGGAUUGACAGAUUGAGAGCUCUUUCUUGAUUCUAUGGGUGGUGGGUGCAUGGCCGUUCUUAGUUGGUGGAGUGAUUUGUCUGGGUUAAUUCCGUUAACGA
rnacentral:rRNA from 1 species